AGGCCAGCCAGCGACUCACGGUCUCGUCCGGUGCAGAUCAUUUAUUUCUAAUCUAAGGAUAUGGAGUAUAAAGUGUACUUAAAUGAAAAGGCACCUGUUCCCGCAGCUACAAAAAGGCGAUGGACACAGAAUAUAAUAGGAGCAAAAAAGAGAAGAUCAUACAAGACAUGGCUUAUUCCCGAUAUAGUUGAAGUAAUUCAGGUUUAAUGUUGGCCUAAAAAACAUUUUCAGUAAUAAAUUCAUGGCCAUUUGUUGUAGUCAAGAAACCAUGUCUAACAUGCUCCUGUAUGUUUAUAAUUUCAUACUUAUAGGAAAACAUUUCCAAUGAUGACAGUGGUGACAAUAUCAGCAAAUCUGACAGGAACUGCCCUGAUGCUCAUGGAAACUUUUCUACUGAUGACGAGAAUGAGGUCGUCAGCGAUGCUGAUGGAAACUUUUCAGAUGCUGAUGUGAGAAUGAAUUUCUGAUAUUUUUUUUAAUCCAAUGCUUUUUGCAUACAUUUGUAAAUAUCGGUGUUCAUAUGGAUUUUGUUUUAAUGUGCAAUAAAUGCACAAUUUCUGACAGGAAGGCUUUUCUGCUGAUGACGAGGGUGAUGUUUUUAGCACAGCUGAUGAGAACUUUCCACAGACUCAUAUUGUCAGAAACCACAGUGCAGUUUGUGAGGGAAGCACAGAAGAAAGAGAGGAG
ensembl:lncRNA